rnacentral:tRNA from 1 species
GGUGGCUCAGUGGUAGAGCGCUUGUCUGAUGUGCAUGGGGCCGUGGGUUCAAUUCCUCAGCACCA